UUAGCAAGAGGACUAACGUAAAUGGGAUAGUAGAGCCCAACAGUAAAAAAAACGCCUCACUCGUUCUCCUUAUACAGAGAAGCUCAAAAUGAGUUCGCAAAAUAAGCCUUCGCUAUAUUGAACACGCCUCUCUCCAGUUCACUUCUUCUCUGCGACUCCGUCUUUGUAACUCCACCUCUCCUGCGUUCAACAUCGACUCAUCUUCUUCGAAUCUUGACGCAAAAUCUGUAGGGACAUAUAUAUACAUGAUGUUAAUUGGCCCCUCAGUGUCACCGGUUCUCUAAUCGGUGUCUCUGAUAGUGUGGGUGAUGGUGGGCUCAUUAUCGCAUAACACAUACAAGUUGUGGGGCAUUGGCAAUGGGCAAUGGGCAAUGGGCAAUGGGCAUUGGAAUGUGUGGGUGUUGGUUUCAUUUCUGUUGGGAGGAAGGAAGAAGCAAACUCAGCAGAGCAGGAUGGAAAUUUAAGGACAUUGAUAAUUCAGAACCAUUCCCGAAACUAAUAGUGAACCAGUAAAAGUAGUCGUUGCUGAUAACCUCCCGAUAUAGGUUUUGCUUGCUUUUGCACAUUCUGAUAUAGUCAGGUAUUUUAUUUCCAAUUUGUUCUUACGAAACAAAUCAGAGGUGGUGAUCUUGGGGAUCUUAGCUAGGACUUGAACAGUAUCACACUAACAAAGAUAUCUGAACUUGGUUGUACAACCAGAAUUUCAAGAUAUGACUUUUGUUUUAUUUUGUUUUUUUGUCAAUAUUUGUAAUGCAGUCUUGCAUCUAUCAAACACAACCUCGUUUGAAUGUAUUCAUUUUCUAAAUCAUCCCUACUAAUCAAUAGUUCAGCAAGGAACAAAUUGACCGAGUCCUUUCCAUUUUCCUAUUCAUCAUAGCUAUUAGCUUGUGCUCUGCAUUCCAGCAGUGUCACGGAAUUUGCAUCUAUUUCAUGGUUUAGAUUGUGUUGGUAAAUUCUGAGAAAUUAAAAGUACUCUAUGUCAUGAGUUUCUUAGGAACUGUUGUACUUAUUUCUAGAAAUAUCAUGGUUCCAUAUUGAAUGAAUUGUCAGGUAUCAAAGCGAUCAGCAGCCUAGCACAUGGGGUUGAUUUUACAACUUGAAUAUAAAAAAUUAGCCAAUAAUCAACAUUUUAACA